AGCCAGUCCAAGUGCAGUGGUUAUUAGUAUUUACAGCUAAUUGAUCACAAACAGUUACAGGUUUCUUUGUUCCUUCUCCACUCCCACUGUUUCACUUGACUAUCCUUGG
ensembl:Y_RNA Y_RNA Y RNA